rnacentral:rRNA from 1 species
AGUUUAAAGGAAAUAAUUUUAAAUGAAUCCUGCCCAGUGAAUAAUUUUAAAUGGCCGCAGUACCUUGACUGUGCUAAGGUAGCAUAAUCAAUUGGCUUUUAAUUAGAGUCUGGAAUGAAUGGAAGAAUGAAUUAAAGCUGUCUUAAAUUUAUUUUUAUAAAAUUAUUUAUAAGGUGAAAAUACCUUAAUUUUUAGAAAAAAGACGAGAAGACCCUUAGAGUUUUUAAUAAAAAAAUAAUUAAUAAUUUUAAUUUUUUUGUUGGGGCGACAAGUAAACAUUUUAAACUUUACGUUUUUAUAUUACGAUUUUAUUAAAAUAAAUAAAACUACCUUAGGGAUAACAGCAUUAUUUAUUAAUAAGAUUGUGACCUCGAUGUUGGACUAGGAACUUUAUGGCUAGCCGUCAAAAAAGAUUUGUUCUGUUCGAACAAUAAUAUCCU